UGAUGUGGAAAUGUGAGCCAAACAAACCCU
rnacentral:piRNA from 1 species